rnacentral:hammerhead_ribozyme from 1 species
AUCCAACUGAUGAGUCCUAAAUAAGACGGAGCACGUGUCCAGGAU